rnacentral:rRNA from 1 species
UGGGGAAUUUUGGACAAUGGGGGAAACCCUGAUCCAGCCAUCCCGCGUGUGCGAUGAAGGCCUUCGGGUUGUAAAGCACUUUUGGCAGGAAAGAAACGUCAUGGGUUAAUACCCCGUGAAACUGACGGUACCUGCAGAAUAAGCACCGGCUAACUACGUGCCAGCAGCCGCGGUAAUACGUAGGGUGCAAGCGUUAAUCGGAAUUACUGGGCGUAAAGCGUGCGCAGGCGGUUCGGAAAGAAAGAUGUGAAAUCCCAGAGCUCAACUUUGGAACUGCAUUUUUAACUACCGGGCUAGGGUGUGUCAGAGGGAGGUGGAAUUCCGCGUGUAGCAGUGAAAUGCGUAGAUAUGCGGAGGAACACCGGUGGCGAAGGCAGCCUCCUGGAAUAACACUGACACUCAUGCACGAAAGGGUGGGGAGCAAACAGG